CAGCCGCCGCGGGAAUACGUAGGUGGCAAGCGUUGUCCGGAAUUAUUGGGCGUAAAGCGCGCGCAGGCGGUUUCUUAAGUCUGAUGUGAAAGCCCCCGGCUUAACCGGGGAGGGUCAUUGGAAACUGGGAGACUUAGAGUGCAGAAGAGGAGAGUGGAAUUCCAUGUGUAGCGGUGAAAUGCGUAGAUAUAUGGAGGAACACCGGUGGCGAAAGCGGCUCUCUGGCUUGUAACUGACGCUGGGGCUCGAAAGCGUGGGGAGCAAACAGGAUUAGAUACCCCCGUAGUCCCUGUCUCUUAUA
rnacentral:rRNA from 1 species